rnacentral:rRNA from 1 species
ACACUGUACAAUGGAUUUCUCGGCUCCCACAUCGAUGAAGAACGCAGCAAAGCGCGAUAGGUUGUGUGAAUUGCAGAAUACCGUGAAUCAUCGAAUUUUUGAACGCAUAUUGCGCCCGGGUUUGAGCCUGGGCAUGUCUGCCUCAGCGUCGAUUUCC